CUCCUUCAAGCACUUUAGUUCCUGGCAUUAGUGUCAGAUGUGCCUGAGAGGCUUGAAAUAUUUGUUCCUUUAGUUUUGCAAUAUCCAAAGAUAAAUUUCCAAUAUGACCUUUUAAAUGUUUCUUAACUUUUUUCCACUCAUGCUCUGUUUCAUUAUACAGAUGAUGUUUUCUCUUGCCUGAAUUUGAGCUUCAUCAGCCCACCAAGUUUUAAACUGCAAGUACUGAGACGGACUAAUGGCUUGUUUAAAUUCCUUUAAUAACUUAAAUAUAGCCCAAUUAGCUAUAUUCUGUGUCUGUGCACAUUCCAGAGGCUACAAGGGGUUUUAUGCCCUGAGUCCUGGGUUCCAUCCAAGCCACAAGGGGUUUUAUGCCCUGGGCUUAGAUCUGUGGUGUGGCAGGGCAGCCUUCCACCCUUUGGCACAGAGCUUGGUGUUCCAAAGUCCACAAGGGGUUUUAGACCCUGGACUCCAGACAUCUUCCAAGACUCUUUUACACUAUGACAGGCAAGCUAGUCCUGCCUCAG
rnacentral:lncRNA from 1 species